rnacentral:rRNA from 1 species
UGGUCAAGUUAUUAAGGGUGCAGGGCGGAUGCCUUGGCACUAGGAGCCGAUGAAGGACGUGAUAAGCUGCGAUAAGCUUCGGGGAGUUGCACGUAAACUUUGAUCCGAAGAUUUCCGAAUGAGGAAACUCACUUAGAGUAAUGUCUAAGUAUCAUUAAGUGAAUACAUAGCUUAAUGAGGGGAACUCAGGGAACUGAAACAUCUAAGUACCUGAAGGAAGAGAAAGAAAUUCGAUUCCGUAAGUAGCGGCGAGCGAACGCGGAUUAGCCCAAACCAAUAAAGUUUUCUUUAUUGGGGUUGCGGACAUAUCAUAACGAAGAGAUAUCGUAAUUGAAGAGGUUUGGAAAGACCCACCACAGAAGGUAAUAGUCCUGUAUGU